rnacentral:tRNA from 1 species
GGGGAUGUAGCUCAGUGGUAGAGCACUUGCCUAGCAUGCAUAAGGCCUAGAUUUCAAUCCCCA